UACAGGGUGAGAUAAAAAAACUGCAACUUCAGACGGCUGUCAUUUCUAGAGAUGGGAAAAAAAGUUAUUCGUGAUUGAAUUCAAGCGUGAUAGUGUGAUUUCUCCACUCCAGCAUUUAAAUGUGAAUUAAUCUUUUGUGUCUCGUACCAUCACUCGUUACCGUAAUACUGGUAGUGUAGCCCGACGUCGAGGAAGUGGACGGAAGAAAACAGCAAUAUCAGCAGAAAUCGUUCGAAAUGUAAAGAAGCGACUUGAUCGAAACUCGCGUCGCAGUGGCCGAAAAAUGGCUCGUGAGCGGAACAUAUCGCAAUAUUCCAUUCGGCAAAUAUUGAAAAAU